AGGAUAAACGCUGGCGGCGUGCAUGAGACAUGCAAGUCGAACGGGUUCUCGGGCUUGCUCGAGAGCUAGUGGCGGACGGCUGAGUAACGCGUAGGUGACCUGCCCCGAAGUGGGGAAUAACUGCCCGAAAGGGUGGCUAAUACCGCAUGUGAUCGCUCAUUCAUUUGUUCGAUCAAAGCAGUAAUGCGCUUCGGGAGGGGCCUGCGUCCGAUUAGCUCGUUGGUGGGGUAAUGGCUCACCAAGGCGACGAUCGGUAGGUGGUCUGAGAGGACGAUCACCCAGACUGGGACUGAGACACGGCCCAGACUCCUACGGGAGGCAGCAGUGGGGAAUCUUGCGCAAUGGGCGAAAGCCUGACGCAGCGACGCCGCGUGGGGGAUGAAGGCCUUCGGGUUGUAACCCCUUUCAGCAGGGACGAAGCGAAAGUGACGGUACCUGCAGAAGAAGCGCCGGCUACUACGUGCCAGCAGCCGC
rnacentral:rRNA from 1 species